ensembl:snoRNA SNORA63 Small nucleolar RNA SNORA63
GUGCAGGAUAAGUUACAAUGCAGCUGUGUAGUACUGUAUUGUCGUUCCCCCUGCAAACAGUAAGCUGUUUCCUCGCUAUCUCUGGCAUGAUCUUGUGACUGCCAGAGUCGUAUGGUUUCAGACAC